rnacentral:lncRNA from 1 species
AUGAGCUAAUCUAUCAGCGGCACGUCUACAGUCUUCCAAAGGGCAGAAAUAACAUGUUUCAUACGUUGUUGAUGUUCCUGUACAUCAUAAAGACCAAAGAGUCAGGAAUGCUUGGGAGAGUUAAUCUUGGGCUGUCUGGUGUGAAUAUUUUAUGGAUUUUUGGAGAGUAGUCCAUCGUUUAAUUCCAAACAUUUGGACUUUGAUUGUAAUUGGCCUGGAAGGAGUUGAAGCUAAGUAUGUCCGCGUAAGCACCUCUUCCGAAAUAAGAUGCAUGUUUUGCUGCAGACUUGUUAGAUUUCACAGGAAACAAACUGAGGGAAGCUUGUCAUGAACAUGACAAAGCCUGCGUCUUCUAUUCCAUGGAACAUUUAUUAUGUGGGGUGACUCCAAAACUGCAGUCCUGGGCUGUGAACUAGUGCGGUUCCCUUCACUUGGUGAGGGCAAGGACGCCUCUCCAUUUUAACCGCAGUGAGAAUCUGCACGUUGUUCUUUACCAUCGAGACUGGCUCUCACUGUUGGAGUAGUGUAAGUACUCAGGUGAACCUUGGUAGCUCUCUUUGUUGUAUCUUUAUUUCCCCAGUGUUCUACAAGUCAGCCUAAAGCUGAAAUGAAAUUAAUUUCUAAGUGAUGUAGUAAUUAAUCCUGCUGAGCCAUCUCCCCAGCCCCCUAUUGGUUUUUUUUAAUAUUAAAAGAGAUUUGAUAAUAUUGGGAUCUUGAAAGGUCAAUGCUUGCAUUAAAAUUAGCUGAUAAAAUUAAACUUUUGGGUUUUAGUUAAAUGUC